UGAGAAUGUGUGACUAGGACCGAAAGCAGAUUUCCAGGUGGAGUCUUUGAAUUUUUUAAAAGACGAUGGUAAUCAGAUCUACUUGAAAAAUAAAGUGAAUUGAUUUGCUUGGAACACUCUUUUACCAGUUCUUUAACAUUUAACCACUGGAUUCCCAGAAGUUGUGCAUGAGUUCCUGUGGAGAGAGUUGGCAUCGUGGAUAGCAAAGACGGUUAUGAUGCAGUUUUUUGAUACGAGGAUAACAGGAAGCGUCAAGACAAUCAUGCCCAUGAGAACUCUAAACCAUUCAGACCAUUUUAUCUUAGUGAAACUGGCAACUGAACUUUGCUCUAGUUGAUGGGCAAAAUUUCUCCUAGAAUAUUCAUCACCCCAAUUUCACCCUAGUUGAAAAUAUUCAAAUGCCAUAAGAGAUCUUUAUAGAUUUGCACUUAGCUUUUGGAUGGACAUUUCUACAAUGGAGAGAACUGUGUUAUAGCCCUGGUCCAAGGACAUUACCAUCUAAUGCCCAUAGACUACGGUGUGGGUGUGGAAGGUUCCAAAGAGAAGGAACACUCAGCAAGUUUGCAGACACCCUGGAACAUGGAAGCAAGCAAGCUUUGAAGACACUCCAUGAGUCUGCACGGCUUUCAAGCGAACUAGCAC
rnacentral:lncRNA from 1 species